UACGUAGGGGGCAAGCGUUGUCCGGAUUUAUUGGGCGUAAAGAGCGUGUAGGCGGUUUGGUAGGUCCGCUGUGAAAAACUCGAGGCUCAACCUCGAGACGCCGGUGGAAAACCAUCAGGCUAGAGUCCGGAAGAGGAGAGUGGAAUUCCUGGUGUAGCGGUGAAAUGCGCAGAUAUCAGGAAGAACACCCGUGGCUAAGGCGACUCUUUGGUCUGUAAACUGACGCUGAGGCGCGAA
rnacentral:rRNA from 1 species